UACGGGAGGCAGCAGUGGGGAAUAUUGCACAAUGGGCGCAAGCCUGAUGCAGCCAUGCCGCGUGUAUGAAGAAGGCCUUCGGGUUGUAAAGUACUUUCAGUCGUGAGGAAGGUGUUAAGGUUAAUAACCUUAGCAAUUGACGUUAGCGACAGAAGAAGCACCGGCUAACUCCGUGCCAGCAGCCGCGGUAAUACGGAGGGUGCGAGCGUUAAUCGGAAUUACUGGGCGUAAAGGGCACGCAGGCGGUUAAUUAAGUUGGAUGUGAAAUCCCCGGGCUUAACCUGGGAAUGGCAUUCAAGACUGGUUAGCUAGAGUCUUGUAGAGGGGGUAGAAUUCCAUGUGUAGCGGUGAAAUGCGUAGAGAUGUGGAGGAAUACCGGUGGCGAAGGCGGCCCCUGGACAAGGGACUGACGCUCAUGUGCGAAAGCGUGGGGAGCAAACG
rnacentral:rRNA from 1 species